rnacentral:rRNA from 1 species
GUCUGAGACCUGAUGCCGAGCCGAUUGUGGUGAAGUGGAUGAUCCUAUGCUGUCGAGAAAAGCCUCUAGCGAGUUUCAUGGCGGCCCGUACCCUAAACCGACUCAGGUGGUCAGGUAGAGAAUACCGAGGCGUUCGGGUGAACUAUGGUUAAGGAACUCGGCAAAAUGCCCCCGUAACUUCGGGAGAAGGGGGGCCACGUCCGGUGAUCGGAUUUACUCCGUGAGCUGGGGGUGGCCGCAGAGACCAGCGAGAAGCGACUGUUUACUAAAAACACAGGUCCGUGCGAAGCCGUAAGGCGAUGUAUACGGACUGACGCCUGCCCGGUGCUGGAACGUUAAGGGGACCGGUUAGCUCUGAUUCGUCAGGGCGAAGCUGAGAACUUAAGCGCCAGUAAACGGCGGUGGUAACUAUAACCAUCCUAAGGUAGCGAAAUUCCUUGUCGGGUAAGUUCCGACCUGCACGAAUGGCGUAACGACUUCUCGACUGUCUCAACCAUAGGCCCGGUGAAAUUGCACUACGAGUAAAGAUGCUCGUUUCGCGCAGCAGGACGGAAAGACCCCGGGACCUUUACUACAGUUUGAUAUUGGUGUUCGGUUCGGCUUGUGUAGGAUAGCUGGGAGACUGUGAAGCAGGCACGCCAGUGUUUGUGGAGUCGUCGUUGAAAUACCAGUCUGGUCGUGCUGGAUGUCUAACCUGGGUCCGUGAUCCGGAUCAGGGACAGUGUCUGAUGGGUAGUUUAACUGGGGCGGUUGCCUCCUAAAGAGUAACGGAGGCGCCCAAAGGUUCCCUCAGCCUGGUUGGCAAUCAGGUGUUGAGUGUAAGUGCACAAGGGAGCUUGACUGUGAGACCGACGGGUCGAGCAGGGACGAAAGUCGGGACUAGUGAUCCGGCGGUGGCUUGUGGAAGCGCCGUCGCUCAACGGAUAAAAGGUACCCCGGGGAUAACAGGCUGAUCUUCCCCAAGAGUCCAUAUCGACGGGAUGGUUUGGCACCUCGAUGUCGGCUCGUCGCAUCCUGGGGCUGGAGUCGGUCCCAAGGGUUGGGCUGUUCGCCCAUUAAAGCGGUACGCGAGCUGGGUUUAGAACGUCGUGAGACAGUUCGGUCCCUAUCCGCUGUGCGCGUAGGAGUCUUGAGAAGGGCUGUCCCUAGUACGAGAGGACCGGGACGGACGAACCUCUGGUGUGCCAGUUGUCCUGCCAAGGGCAUGGCUGGUUGGCUACGUUCGGGAGGGAUAACCGCUGAAAGCAUCUAAGCGGGAAGCCUGCUUCGAGAUGAGGACUCCCACCCACUUGAUGGGGUAAGGCUCCCAGUAGACGACUGGGUUGAUAGGCCGGAUCUGGAAGCACGGUAACGUGUGGAGGUGACCGGUACUAAUAGGCCGAGGGCUUGUCCUCAGUUG